UAUUAAAACAUAAAACUUCAAGACUAUUCAUAGUUUAAACUAUUCCUAGUCUAGUCAUGCAUCUCAUACAUGUUAGAUCUACUUAGAUUUAAAUUUAAAUUUUUUAAUUUCAGAUCCAAUCACAUUUGAUGUGACAUCUGAAAUCCAUUAAUAUCAGAUAAAUAAAAAUAAAAAUCAGAUCUAAAUUAGAUCUGAAAUAGAGUCAUCAACCUGGCUCUGAUACCAGAUAUCCCUCCACUUCUCUACAUCCCCUCUGGUCCUCUCUCUCCCCUUUUCACGUUUAAGAAGUUGGGCAUCCAUCUGGUGCUUGUCCAAAGCGUGGUGGCCCCCUGAUCAGAAGGCUGCAGGGAUUUAUCGAGAAGCUGCUGCUCCAGCUUUAGAAGAUCUUUUAAAGAUCUUUCAGAUCAGAUCCAGAUCUGAUUUUUGAAGCAGAGAUUCACAAGGAGAAGAUGAUCCAGAUCCUGCUCGAGUGGAUACCGAUAGAGGCCAGACGAUUACGUGGCUAUUUUUGAACUUCGGACAUUA
rnacentral:lncRNA from 1 species